AGCGAACGCUGGCGGCAGGCUUAACACAUGCAAGUCGAGCGGGCAUAGCAAUAUGUCAGCGGCAGACGGGUGAGUAACGCGUGGGAACGUAACCUUUGGUUCGGAACAACACCGGGAUACUUGUUCUAAUACCGGAUAAGCCCUUACGGGGAAAGAUUUAUCGCCGAAAGAUCGGCCCGCGUCUGAUUAGCUAGUUGGUGGGGUAAAGGCCCACCAAGGAGACGAUCAGUAGCUGAUCUGAGAGGAUGAUCAGCAACAUUGGGACAGAGACACGGCCCAAACUCCUACGGAAGGCAGCAGUGGGGAAUAUUGGACAAUGGGGGCAACCCUGAUCCAGCCAUGCCGCGUGAGUGAUGAAGGCCCUAGGGUUGUAAAGCUCUUUUGUGCGGGAAGAUAAUGACGGUACCGCAAGAAUAAGCCCCGGCUAACUUCGUGCCAGCCGCCGCGGUAA
rnacentral:rRNA from 1 species